rnacentral:rRNA from 1 species
CCUACGGGAGGCAGCAGUGGGGAAUAUUGCACAAUGGGGGAAACCCUGAUGCAGCGACGCCGCGUGAGUGAAGAAGUAUUUCGGUAUGUAAAGCUCUAUCAGCAGGGAAGAAGAAAGACGGUACCUGACUAAGAAGCCCCGGCUAACUACGUGCCAGCAGCCGCGGUAAUACGUAGGGGGCAAGCGUUAUCCGGAUUUACUGGGUGUAAAGGGAGCGUAGACGGCUGUGCAAGUCUGAAGUGAAAGCCCAGGGCUCAACCCUGGGACUGCUUUGGAAACUGUGGAGCUAGAGUGCUGGAGAGGAAAGUGGAAUUCCUGGUGUAGCGGUGAAAGGCGUAGAUAUGAGGAGGAAAACGAGUGGCGAGGGCGGCUUACGGGACAGUAACGGACGUUGGGGCUGGAAAGCGUGGGGAGAAAACAGGAUUAGAUACCCUUGUAGUC